rnacentral:rRNA from 1 species
GAUGAACGCUGGCGGCGUGCCUAAUACAUGCAAGUCGAGCGAACAGACGAGGAGCUUGCUCCUCUGACGUUAGCGGCGGACGGGUGAGUAACACGUGGAUAACCUACCUAUAAGACUGGGAUAACUUCGGGAAACCGGCGCUAAUACCGGAUAAUAUAUUGAACCGCAGGGUUCAAUAGUGAAAGACGGUUUUGCUGGCACUUAUCGAUGGAUCCGCGCCGCAUUGGCUGGUUGGUAAGGUAACGGCUUACCAAGGCAACUAUGCGUAACCGAGCUGAGAGGGUGAUCGGCCACCCUGGAGCUUAGACGCGGUCCAGACUCCUACGGGAGGCAGCAGUAGGGAAUCGUCCGCAAUGGGCGAAAGCCUGACGGAGCAACGCCGCGUGAGUUAUGAAGGUCUUCGGAUCGUAAAGCUCUGUUAUUAGGGAAGAACAAAUGUGUAAGUAACUGUGCACGUCUUGACGGUACCUGAUCAGAAAGCCACGGCUAACUACGUG